rnacentral:rRNA from 1 species
UUCGGUCCUUGCUGCACCCUUGUCUUUUGCGUACCGUAUGUUUCCUCGGCGGGCUUGCCUGCCGGUUGGACAUUAUCAAACCUUUUUGUAGUUGCAAUCAGCGUCAGAAAAUAAUAAUAAUUACAACUUUCAACAACGGAUCUCUUGGUUCUGGCAUCGAUGAAGAACGCAGCGAAAUGCGAAAAGUAGUGUGAAUUGCAGAAUUCAGUGAAUCAUCGAAUCUUUGAACGCACAUUGCGCCCCUUGGUAUUCCAUGGGGCAUGCCUGUUCGAGCGUCAUUUUGUACCCUCAAGCACUGCUUGGUGUUGGGCGCUUGUCCUGCAAAGGACUCGCCUGAAAGCGAUUGGCGGCCAACGUACUGGUGGUAGAGCGCAGCACAAUUUGCGUCUUUCCCCUCUGCGUUAGCGUCCAUAAAGCCUAUUUCAACGUUUGACCUCGGAUCAGGUAGGGAUACCCGCUGAACUUAAGCAUAUCAAU